CCCUGCCCUCCUGUGUUCCUGCCCUUAAUAGCCCUCCAGGUGACAUCAGAAUGUGGAUGAGGGGACAAGAGAGCCAGUGUUCCAAGUACCACCACCAUCAUCACUGCCACCACCACCACCACCACCAUCAGGAGCACAGAUUCACUGAAGUCUCUACCAAGAUUUCUUUGAGUUUUUUGAUAAAUUUAACUUCCAGGAGAGAGAGAGAUGCUGAUUGUUAAAGGCAGUGUGUGAAGCCUGCCCACUGUCUUUGUAUAUACAGGUUAGGGUGUGUGUGUGUGUGUGUGUGUGUGUGUGUGUGUGUGUGUGUGUGUGUGUGUGUGUGUGUGUGUGUGUGUGUGUGUGUGUGAGUGUUUGUUUGUUUUGUAUCCUCCACACUGCUGGUCUUAAUCUAGCUUGCCAAACUAAAUGAAGUCAUCCACAGCCACAGCCUUAUUCUUCCUUUCAUUUGUAUCUACACAGUCCUAUGAGCAGCUCCUCCUCCUCCUCCUCCUCCUCCUCCUCCUCCUCCUCCUCCUCCUCCUCCUCCUCCUCCUCCUCCUCCUCCUCCUCCUCCUCCUUGUCUUCCUUCUAUUAUUCCUGUUUCCUUGUAUGUCUUAUUCCUCUUCCUCCUCCUCCUCCUCCUCCUCUUAAUGUUUUCUCUUUCACUGCUGUUCAUGAAAGUGUUGAAGAAAUAUUAGUUAUAUCUGGCAGUGAUCAGACCUCAUGUACAGAUGUGGUCCCUUACUACAGACACAGCCUAAGGUAACCUAACCCAAUCAUUUCAGAAGGUGGAAUUUGAGUCUCUCUCUCUCUCUCUCUCUCUCUCUCUCUCUCUCUCUCUCUCUCUCUCUCUCUCUCUCUCUCUCUCUCUCUCUCUCUCUCUCUCUCUCUCUCUCUCUCUCUCUCUCUCUCUCUCUCUCUCUCUCUCUCUCUCUCUCUCUCUCUCUCUCUCUCUCUCUCUCUCUCUCUCUCUCUCUCUCUCUCUCUCUGUUUGGAAUUAUACUGUAUAUUAAGAAAUAUCAUUAAAGAGUGUGUGUGUGUGUGUGUGUGUGUAAAAAGUGUUUGCAUUAUUGUGCAUUUGAUAUUAUAGCCCCAGGUUCUUAAAGUUUUCUGGUUUCAUGAUUUAUAAAGAUUGCUAUUUUUAAUAAAGUUAUUGAAAUUGUUA